rnacentral:tRNA from 1 species
AAGGGUAUAGCUCAAGUGGUAGAGCAUAUGCUCAGCAUGCAAGAGGUCCUGGGUUCAAUCCCCAGUACCUCCU